AUGCUUCCCCAGAUAUCUAGUUCUUGUUCUUCCAAGAUGUAUCGCACAACCAAUCUCUUGUUCACCCUCAUCAUCCUAAGCAUCACUUCAUUUUCACAAGUGGUGAAUGCACUAGCACUACAACCCCAAUAUGCCCAUGGCAGUGGCUGCAUCCCUGCCGAGAGGGCCGCCUUGCUUGCCUUACAGAAGGGGAUCACAAGUGACAGCGCUGAUAUCCUCGCAUCGUGGGAAGGGUAUGAUUGCUGUCGGUGGAGGGGCAUCAGCUGCAGCAACCGAACAGGCCAUGUCAUCAAGCUUCACCUUCGCAAUACGUUUCCGGGCCCUAAAGCCUAUAACUACAAUGGGUGUAGUGAUGCCAAUUCAUUGUUCGGCAAGAUAAGUCCCUCUCUGCUUUCCUUGAAGAAUCUAGAGUACAUGGAUCUUAGCAUGAACUGUUUGCUAGGGCCAAAUAGCCAUAUUCCUCAGUUUUUGGGAUCCAUGGAUAACUUGAGAUACCUUAACCUCUCUGGCAUUCCAUUUACGAGUAGAGUUCCUUCUCAGCUUGGUAACUUGUCUAAGUUGCAACAUCUUGACCUUGGCGAGGGUUAUUCCGGGAUGUACUCAGCGGACAUCACUUGCUUAACAAAGCUACCCUUGCUGCAGUAUCUUAGUAUGAGCACAAUAAAUCUUGCAAGGAUAGCUGACUGGCCUCGUCCCUUGAAUAUGGUUCCAUCACUAGGAGUUAUCAAUCUUGCUGGAUGCUCACUUGAUACUGCAAGUCAAUCGCUUCCCUACCUUAACCUCACAAAACUUGAGAAGCUUGAUUUGUCCUUGAAUAAUCUAGGCCACUCAAUUGCAUCAAGUAGGUUUUGGAAAGUGACAAGCCUCAAAUACCUCAGCCUUCGUGCGACUCAGUUAUUUGGAAAAUUUCCGGAUGCACUAGGAAACAUGACGUCACUUAAGGUACUUGAUUUGGCAUUCAACAAUCUGAAUAAGACUGAAAACCUUCAAAGUCUUCUUAAAAACCUUUGA
rnacentral:rRNA from 1 species